GGGCUCAUAGCUCAGCCUGGUAGAGCGGCGGGCUCAUAACCCGUCGGCCGGCGGUUCGAAUCCGCCUGGGCCCA
rnacentral:tRNA from 1 species